rnacentral:rRNA from 1 species
UACGAAGGGGGCUAGCGUUGCUCGGAAUUACUGGGCGUAAAGCGCACGUAGGCGGUCUUUUAAGUCGGGGGUGAAAUCCUGGAGCUCAACUCCAGAACUGCCUUCGAUACUGGAAGACUUGAGUCCGGGAGAGGUGAGUGGAACUGCGAGUGUAGAGGUGAAAUGCGCAGAUAUCAGGAGGAACACCAAUGGCGAAGGCAGCUCGCUGGGACGGUACUGACGCUGAGACGCGAAAGCGUGGGGGAGCAAACAGG